rnacentral:pre_miRNA from 1 species
AAGGUACUCCCUCCAUCCAAAAAAGCUUGUCCCAAGCUUGUCCCUCAAAUGGAUGUAUCUAGCACUAACUUGAUGCUAGAUACAUCCAUUUGAGGGACAAGCUUUUUCAGACGGAGGGAGUAUGUU